rnacentral:misc_RNA from 1 species
GAUGAAGAACGUAGCGAAAUGCGAUAAGUAAUGUGAAUUGCAGAAUUCAGUGAAUCAUCGAAUCUUUGAACGCACAUUGCGCCCGCCAGUAUUCUGGCGGGCAUGCCUGUUCGAGCGUCAUUUCAACCAUCAACCCCCCGGCUUGUGUUGGGGACCUGCGGCUGCCGCAGGCCCUGAAAAGCAGUGGCGGGCUCGCUGUCACACCGAGCGUAGUAGCAUACAUCUCGCUCUGGGCGUGCUGCGGGUUCCGGCCGUUAAACCACCUUCAUAACCCAAGGUUGACCUCGGAUCAGGUAGGAAGACCCGCUGAACUUAAGCAUAUCAAUAAGCGGAGGA